rnacentral:misc_RNA from 1 species
GAUAAGAACGUAGCAAAAUGCGAUAAGUAAUGUGAAUUGCAGAAUUCAGUGAAUCAUCGAAUCUUUGAACGCACAUUGCGCCCGCUGGUAUUCCGGCGGGCAUGCCUGUUCGAGCGUCAUUUCAACCCUCAAGCCCCCGGGUUUGGUGUUGGGGAUCGGCUCUGCCCUUCUGGGCGGUGCCGCCCCCGAAAUACAUUGGCGGUCUCGCUGCAGCCUCCAUUGCGUAGUAGCUAACACCUCGCAACUGGAACGCGGCGCGGCCAUGCCGUAAAACCCCAACUUCUGAAUGUUGACCUCCGAUCAGGUAGGAAUACCCGCUGAACUUAAGCAUAUCAAUAAGCGGAGA